UACGUAGGGUGCAAGCGUUGUCCGGAAUUAUUGGGCGUAAAGCGUCCGCAGGUGGCUGUUCAAGUCUGCUGUCAAAGCGCAGAGCUUAACUCUGUACAGGCCGUGGAAACUGAAGAGCUAGAGUAUGGUAGGGGUAGAGGGAAUUCCCGGUGUAGCGGUGAAAUGCGUAGAUAUCGGGAAGAACACCAGUGGCGAAAGCGCUCUACUGGGCCAUAACUGACACUGAGGGACGAAAGCUAGGGGAGCGAAAGGG
rnacentral:rRNA from 1 species